ACUAGAAAAGUUUCAAACAACAAAGUUAUUAAACAGGAAGUGAAAUAAAGUAAUUAUUGGAUCUUUACCCAAAACAACAAAGCAGAAAAAAUUUGUAAAAGGUGUAUUUCUGACAUUUUAACAGACCCACUGGUAAAUACAGAUUUAAAAAUACAGAGUAACAAGCUUUAAUUUGUUGCGUGGUAUAAAUCAAGGGGGCAAAGCACAAAUGCCACCUUACUGCAACUCUGAGGGUCCAAUAAAUUUUCAUUCUAUACUUCGGCAUCCCUCAGAAGGCGAGAAAGGAAUAAAAACAGGGCAGUGCAACCUGAGAUAUAGGAAGGAAGAGAAUCUUGUGUUUAUCUACUGUAAUACAUUGCCUUUAUUUUCAGCAGCAAUGGCCUUACUAUGCCUCUUAGAAAUCACGAUUCUCUCAUUUACCAUGGUCUACAUCCGGUCUUCCCCUGUGCUUCUCCGUUUAAGUAUAAAAGGGUUUUACAAAAUAUACGGUUUUCAAAAGAAGUUUUUAAACUCAUGUGCUCUUACUUGAUUAAAUGAUUGUGUAUAAUAAAAAGGGAAGAGUGGUAGUGACUACACGCGCGAAUGAAACACGAAAAAAUGACCUGAUUUUUUUCUAGCUGUUUUCCAGCUGCGGCUUGUUCUUUCAGUUGUUCGAUUGCUUUCAGUUUCUGCAAACAUCAAAUAUAUUAUGAGUCAAGAGGAAGGAAGAAUAAGUAAUUUCAGAAUGCAAAUUUUUUUAGUAUCACCUCAAUCACAUACAUGGGAAAACUGAGUAAGGAGAAUCAAUUAUCUCACCUUUGGAUCAAGGAUAGUCUGGUAAAAUGCUAAGGUGAACAUGGAAGUUACGAGCUAUCAACCGUGAUCUUGAGGGCUGACGGAUUUCAAUAUAGAGACUUUGUGAAGAAUGUCCCAGACCACCUGCAUAACAAGUGUGGCUACAAUAUCCUGAAGUAGACAAGAAGUGUCCUGGAUUUGAAGGAAAAAGAUCUUCCAUCAAUUUCUGAUGUGCAGAGAUAGAAAGUAUAACAACGGUAAGAGGAUCUUCACAUUAAAUAAGUGUGGAUGCAGGAUUCUCUACAAAAACAGACCUGGGGAAAUCAGACUUCUUGGCAAUACUGGCCAAUAUUCUAUCCAGUGGUCCGUACUCUAAGUACUGUAUCUCUCAAGAUACAGGAGAAGGCUACUACGAGUACAUCUCGCAGUGACAAUCAACACCCAAACAGAAAUGUGUAUGUGGGAACAUGUAAAUGUCCGUAAGUGUAGUCACAUAAAACCAGAACUUCAUAGCUAAUGAACAUCUGAAUUAUUAUGUAACAAGCACUGAGAACUGACCAGUACGUCCUCCUUAAACUGGAUAGUAUCUUUACAUUAAUUCAUCUGAAGAUGACCUUUGUGUUUCUGCAUCACAUAAUAAUGGUAGCUUGUACUCAGCUUGUAGUUACUGAAAUAUCCUUUUUUGCCCUCUUUUCACAUAAACAACUAGACCAAGAUGUCCCCCAUCCUACACUUGUACCACAACUUAUUUCUGAACCUAAGGGCAGAAUGUGCAGUUAUCCUUAUUAAUUCCACCCAGGCUUUGGCCUAUUAAUUAGUUCAGCCUACUGAGAUCUAUUUACAUCUUCAUUUUCUCUUACAAAACAUUAGUCAUUUCUUACAGACUUAUGUAAUGUAUAAAUUAUAAAACUUCAUUCUUAGCUAUCCUCUAAAUUCAUGGUAAGAAUGUUGAAUGAGCUUUGGACAAGAUCAUAUGGCUCACCAAUAUAGUCCUUCCCUCAAACUAAAAUCAAUUCAUUAAUCAGCUGACUUUACCACCAUGCCACUUCGUCUCACAUAAAUAAUAACAAUAAUCCUUACUAUCAUUAAAUACCCAGUCCUUGGAUAUCUAGGUUUUGAAAAGCUCCUCAGGUCAUCCUAAUGUGUGGCCAAGUUUGAGAACCACUCAUCUAAAAGCUUGACUGGCCAUAGGUUUGUUUUUUGUUUGUUUUGGUUUUGGUUUUGGACCUUCCUAGAAGUUAAGUAUCAUGUAGUUCCCAUUACUACCCACCAGGGGGUACAUAAUGUCUCCUUGUUCUACCCUUAGUGAUGCUGAGGCUGUACUGGACUCUUCAAGUGCCUCCUCAGAUUCACCCUACCUUUCCUGCUCCCAGUCAUCAGCUAUUCAAUGAAGAAACCUGGCCACCUCAUGCCCUAACACCACUGGUUGUCUCAGACUCUCUAGGAGUGAGGGCCACAUUUCAGCACGGCUUCCACUAUGCCUACUGCAGCAGCAGGAAGAGGAGGUGACAUUCAGAUUCAACCUGAAUAGACCAAAAAAGGCUCUGGCUGUACAUACAUUUCUUACCCUUCCUCUCCACGACUGUUCUGAGGCACAGUGGUUCCUUACAGCCUCUCCGGAGACAUUCUGCAUGACCAAGAAACCUGGCUAUAUUUUAUGAAUCUGUGGUCAGCUCAGUGCACUCCACGUUAGAUUUACUUUCACUUCUUCCUUGCCUUAUUCCCUUUACCCCUCAUUCCUGCUGCCUUGGGAUUGUACACCCCACUGAAGUGCUUGCAGCACAAAAGCUCUGACACAGACUUGUUUGCUAGAGUAGUGCUUUUCAAAUAUUAAUAUGCAUACAAAUCACCUGAGGGUCUGGUUAAAACACAGAUUCUGAUUCAGUAAGCUGAAUCAGGGACUGAGAUGUUACACUGGUUCAAGGUGAUGGCAAUAUAGCUGGUCUUGAUACUUCCUGUAUCAUGGUUCUAAAGAACUGGGUCUAGUAAAAAAUUGGUCGACAGACUUAGGUGAUAUCAGCCUGAUUAUAAAGUUCCCCAUUCAUAGUUCUUCUAACAGGCUCAGCAUCUUUUGAUGAUCAUUUGCCCAGAUCAGUGGUUCUCAAAGCAGGGUCCCUAAACUUGCAGCUUUGGCAUUACUGGGGAACUGUUAAAAAUUCUAGUUCUUGGGCCCCACCCCAGAUCUAAUGAGUCAGAAUAUCUGGAGAGGAAGCAGCAAUCUGUGUUUUAACAAGCUCUUAGAUCACUCUGAUGUAUGCUAAAGUCUGAGAACUGACACAAGAUUUCUUUAAGAUUACAAUGAUUAUCUAACCCCAAUGUUACUUCUGUAUUUAUCCACUGGAAUUCUCCUCUAAGUAAGUUUUCCUCAUCAACAAUUUGGAUACUUUGAAAAACCGUCUGUAUGGGAAAGACAAAAUAAAUGUGUGAUUUCUUCUCUUGAUUUGUCAAUUUUCAAAAUAAUGCGCAAGGACCCCAUCAACCUCCAAUGCUGACUGAUAAGAUUUGGAGAGAGAGGAAUUUGGGGGCGAGUGUUUACAUACUUGAAUGUCUCAAUCCUUUUAGUCAUGAUUCUUUCCAAUGCUCAAAUUGCCUCAUCUUAAGUUGCUGUGAAUGCCCUGAAGUUGACUCUUGUGACUCUUCAACAAAGCCCUGGUAGUCUUUUAUAGCUUCCUUGCUUUCUGGACCAAAAUGUCUCUAGCUCAACUCAUACUGUCUUCUGUACUAGACCUGGAAU